rnacentral:rRNA from 1 species
AGAGUUUGAUCAUGGCUCAGGACGAACGCUGGCGGCGUGCCUAACACAUGCAAGUCGAGCGGAGACAUUUGGAAAGCUUGCUUUUUGGAUGUUUCAGCGGCGGACGGGUGAGUAACGCGUGAGCAACCUGCCUUUAACAGGGGGAUAACGCAUCGAAAGAUGUGCUAAUACCGCAUAAGACCACAACGCUACAUGGCGAAGGGGUCAAAGGAGCAAUCCGGUUAAAGAUGGGCUCGCGUCCGAUUAGCUAGUUGGUGAGAUAACAGCCCACCAAGGCGACGAUCGGUAGCCGACCUGAGAGGGUGAUCGGCCACAUUGGAACUGAGAUACGGUCCAGACUCCUACGGGAGGCAGCAGUGGGGAAUAUUGGGCAAUGGGCGAAAGCCUGACCCAGCAACGCCGCGUGAGGGAAGAAGGGUUUCGGCUCGUAAACCUCUGUCCUAUGGGACGAAGGAAGUGACGGUACCAUAGGAGGAAGCCCCGGCUAACUACGUGCCAGCAGCCGCGGUAAUACGUAGGGGGCGAGCGUUGUCCGGAAUGACUGGGCGUAAAGGGUGUGUAGGCGGUUAUGCAAGUUAAAAGUGAAAUCCCCGGGCUUAACUCGGGUGCUGCUUUUAAGACUGUAUGACUGGAGUGCAGUAGAGAAAAGUGGAAUUCCUAGUGUAGCGGUGGAAUGCGUAGAUAUUAGGAGGAACACCAGAGGCGAAGGCGACUUUUUGGACUGUAACUGACGCUGAGGCACGAAAGUGUGGGGAGCAAACAGGAUUGGAUACCCUGGUAGUCCACACUGUAAACGAUGGAUACUAGGUGUAGGGGGUAUAGACUCCCUCUGCGCUGUCGCAAACGCAAUAAGUAUCCCGCCUGGGGAGUACGACCGCAAGGUUGAAACUCAAAGGAAUUGACGGGGACCCGCACAAGCAGCGGAGCAUGUGGUUUAAUUCGAAGCAACGCGAAAAACCUUACCAAGACUUGACAUCGUACGAAAUCCAUGGAAACAUGGCCCUUCGUAGCAAUACGAACGUAUAGACAGGUGCUGCAUGGUUGUCGUCAGCUCGUGUCGUGAGAUGUUGGGUUAAGUCCCGCAACGAGCGCAACCCUUGCCAUUAGUUGCCAUCAUUGAGUUGGGCACUCUAGUGGGACUGCCGGGGACAACCCGGAGGAAGGCGGGGAUGACGUCAAAUCAUCAUGCCCCUUAUGUCCUGGGCGACACACGUGCUACAAUGGCCGUCACAGAGGGAGGCGAAGGCGCGAGCCGGAGCGAAACCCUAAAGGCGGUCCCAGUUCGGACUGCAGGCUGAAACCCGCCUGCACGAAGCCGGAGUUGCUAGUAAUCGCAGGUCAGCAUACUGCGGUGAAUACGUUCCCGGGCCUUGUACACACCGCCCGUCACACCACGGAAGUCAUUCACACCCGAAGCCGGUGGGCUAACCGCAAGGAUCGGCCUAGAGCGAAACUGGUAAUUGGGGCUAAGUCGUAACAAGGUAGCCGUACCGGAAGGUGUGGCUGGAUCACCUCCUU